GUGGGUGAUGUGCAUGUAUUUUUAAAAAUUUUAUAGUAAAACAUACAUAGAUUAAAUAAUUUAAUCUACAAUACAUGCAUAGAUCAAAUCUAAAUCACCAUAUAUGAUCUAUAAUAUAAACUAAUAUGCAUGUAUACAUAUCUGAAAUCUAAAAUUCAGCAAGUAUAGAAUAUAUCUAAUUUAUAUUUAGAGCAUAUCUAAAUAUUAAUUGAAUUCAAAACAUCAUACCUG
rnacentral:lncRNA from 1 species